AAAAGUAUGUCUACUCAGAUUGUGGACACCAUCACUCACCUGCCCCCUUCAACCCGAUUUCAUCAUGAAAUUGAAGUUCGUCAUCUUUUCUUUUCCUUUCUCAUUUUGUUUUUUUUUUCCAAAUCUUCCUUAAACCCUACAAAAUCUCCUCUCUUGCCUCCAAAAAUGGAGCUCUGAUCUCUUGAACCCAUCCUUGGAUCGUCUUUUUGACUACUCGGAUCAUGAAAGAGAUUACUCGAAACCUAUGAAGUGGAUAUAGGUGAAGGGAUGGGUUUUGGAUAUGAGGGAGAAAAGAUGAAAAGAAAAAAAAAUGGAGGUCUAUAGAAAGAAUUAUAAGCUGGUAGAAUAGUUUGUUUUUCUGUUUUGGAUUAGUUAAGUAUUGAGAUACUAUAAAUAUUUAAUUGUAUUCUUAUGAAAUAAGAUAGAAGCAUUUUUUUAAAAAAAAUAUUUUAACAUGGUAUCAUGUGAGCCAAUUUUUCUCUGGGCAGUUGGGCCACAUUUUUUUUCUUCUUGGGCUCGUUCCUGUUCUCUUUGUUCCUAAUCUGUUUAGGGCACAAAUUCUAAUUUUUUUUCCUUUCUCUUUCGAUUCAUUAUCGUUUCUUUUUCUUCGUGAUUCUCUGCUGUUUUUUUUACUCAUGGCGGAUAUUGAUUUUCAUCAUCCUUUGUUCCUUCAUCUGUCGGAUACACCGGGCACCAUUCUUAUUUCUCAUCGUUUGACCGGUGUUGAGAACUAUUCUGUUUGGAGUCGUUCGCUUUGAAUUGCCUUGCUCGCAAAGAACAAGCUCGGGUUCGUUGAUGGUGAUUGCAGCUAUUCGACGUAUCCGGACUCUCUUUGUACUUAAUGGGAUCGCUGCAAUGCUUUUGUUCUUUCUUGGAUUCUAAACACAGUGAGUCCAGAUUUAUCUGCGGGGCUUGUAUUUACUUCUGAUUCUGCUGCGGUUUGGACGGAUCUCAAGGAUCGCUUUAGCAAGGUGGACGGUUCCCGUAUUUUCUUUCUUCAUCAAUCUAUUGCACAUCUCACUUAAGGUGAUGCUACUGUUUCUUCUUAUUUCACGCAAUUGAAAUUGCUUUGAGAUGAAUAUACUGCUCUCGUCCCUCUUUUCACUUGUGAUUGUGAGGUCGCCCAGCAAAAUUCGAGCCAUCUUCAUCAACAACGAUUGUUUCAGUUCUUGAUGGGUCUCAAUGAGACCUAUGCUGCCGUUCGUAGUCAGAUCCUCUUGAUGCAGCCUUUACCUUCGGUAAAUAGAGCUUAUUCCAUGAUCGUCCAAGAAGAAGCUCAACGGAGUCUUUCCUCUGUUCUACCUCAUGCUUCCGAACCUAUCGAUUUGCUUUCUACCGUUUCUAGCAACCAUAAAAAAUUCAAUGGUGCUUGUGAUUUUUGUAAAGUGAAAGGGCAUAAGAAGGAAUCUUGUUACCAUUUAAUCGGGUUCCCACCUGACUUCAAGUUCAACCGUAAGAAGACUUCUUCGGCUGCUCUUGCAGUCUCAUCCGACGAUUCCCUGCUCAAUUCUCAGAGUGCCCCUGUCUUUACUCCUCAACAGUAUUCUGAGCUCUUGGAGUUGUUGAAUAAAAGCCGAACUGUGGUUGCACCUGCUGUCAAUUGUGCAGGUAUCCCUUAUCGUACUCCUUUUUCAACUAAUAAUAAUUUUUCUUGGAUUUUGGACAUUAGUGCAACUAAUCAUAUAUGCUUUGAUUCUACAUUUCUGAAUUUGCUUGUUGCUUACCCUCCUAAUUCCCAUUUUGUUCAACUUCCGAAUGGUAAACACUCUACUAUAACUCAUUCUGGUUCUUUGUCACUAUCUCCUGAUAUCACCCUUACCAAUGUUCUUUGUGUACCACACUUUAAUCAUAAUUUGAUUUCUGUUUCUAAAUUGGCCCUUGAUUUGCAUUGUGUAGUCAUUUUUUACCCUGAUUUCUGCAUACUGCAGGAUCUCUCCAAUGGCAAGAUGAAGGGGAUUGGUAGGCAUCUGAAUGGUCUUUAUUUUUUUGAGCCUUUUUCUGCCCUAGUUAGAUCCCCUACUUCUACUUCUUGUAAGACUUCUAUUACUAAUUCGAUUUCAUUAUGGCGUGCUAGACUCGGGCAUGUGCCUGUCAACAAAUUACAUCGUUUGUCUUUUUUUCAUAAUUUACCAAUUAAUAAAGACUUUACUUGUUCUGUUUGUCCCAUAGCUAGACAAUCUAAAUUGCCUUUUUCCAACUAGUGUUUCUAGGCCAGCAACUCUUUUUAGCUUAUUACAUCUUGAUGUUUGGGGGCCUUAUAGGGUGUCUACCCAUUGUGGCCAUAGUUUCUUUUUAACCAUUGUCGAUGAUCAUACUCGCAUGACUUGGAUGUACUUACUAAAGCUUAAAUCUGAUGUUGUGAUAGCACUCAAACAAUUUUUUCUCAUGGUCAAAACUCAAUUUUCUACUGUCAUUCAAACUGUCAGGAGUGAUAAUGGUUCUAAAUUUUUUAAUUCCUUCUGUUCUCCUUUCUUUGAGUCUUUAGGCAUUAUUCAUCAAAGUUCUUGUAUUGCUACACCUCAUAAAAAUGGUAUUGCUGAACGAAAGCAUAGGCAUCUGCUCGAAAUUGCUCGUGCUUUACGUUUUCAAUCCAAUGUUCCUCUUAAAUUUUGGGGUGACUGCAUUUUAGCUACUUGUUACAUCAUUAAUCGGCUCUCUUCUUCUAUUUUAGCUUGGCGAACGCCAUUUGAAUUGCUUUAUGAAAAGCCCCCUAAUUUUUCUCACUUUCGUGUUUUUGGGUGCCUUUGUUUUACAGUUAACCCCCAUAAUUCUGAUAAAUUUUCUUCCAGAUCCCUUCCCUCAGUUUUUUUGGUUUAUUCUCCUUCCAAGAAAGGUUAUAUUUUGUUUUCUUUGGACUCUCGAAAAUUUUUUGUUAGUCGCAAUGUUCAUUUUGUUGAAGAUGUCUUUCCUUUUAAAUCUUCUUCUUCUGAAUUUCCUGUUCUGUUUCCCCCUACUCCUGACAUUUCGGAUUUAGAUUUCUUAAUUAUUCCCACUCCUACACCUCCAACAAGCGCUUCACCACAUCCUGUUCUAACUUCAGUAAGUACAUCUCCACCUCUUGUCUCUCCUACUUUGCCUAUUAUUGAACCUAGGCGGUCUGGUCGAACUCUUAAGCCUCCUUCUUGGCUAAAAGAUUUUAUUCAUCCCUAUCAAUCUCCUUCAUCCCCAGCUGCUUCUUCUUCUAAUUCUAUUUUUUUAUCUCAUUUACCUCUCAAAAAUCAGGCCUUUGUUUCUUCCCUUUCCCAUAUUACUGAACCUCUUUCUUAUUUUGAGGCUCACCACUCUCCCCACUGGGUUCAGGCCAUGCAAGAGGAAAUUCGGGCCUUAGAAUCUAAUCAUACAUAGACUGUUGUUCCUUUACCUCCAAGGAAGGUUCCUAUUGGUUAUAAAUGAGUGUACAAGGUCAAACUUUGAGCCUCUGGUGAAAUAUAGAGAUAUAAAGCUCGGUUGGUUGCCAAGGGCUACAACCAGAAAGAAGGGAUCGAUUACUUGGACACUUUUUCUCCUGUUGCUAAAAUGGUCACUGUUCGAACCAUUUUGGCUCUUGCGGCUUCUCUCAACUAGUCUAUUUGUGAAAUGGACGUGUCUAAUGCUUUUCUCCAAGGUGACCUUCAUGAAGAGGUUUUUAUGAUCUUGCCUAAGGGUUUCCGCAACUAGUGGGAGCAUAUGGUAUGUCGGCUGCAGAAAUCUUUGUAUGGGUUGAAGCAGGCAUCCAGACAAUGGAAUGCUAAGCUUACUGAAGCUCUUAUGUUGGCUGGUUUUGAGCAGAGUAAGUUUGACUAUUCUCUUUUUGUUAAAAAGAAAGAAGGCAAGAUGGUCAUAAUACUAGUCUAUGUUGAUGAUCUUCUUAUUACUAGAAAUGAUAUGGAUAUGAUCAAUGACUUGAAAGGAGUCCUGAAUCAAAAUUUCAAGAUGAAAGAUUUAGGAGAUUUACGGUACUUUCUUGGGAUUGAGAUUUUAAGGUCUCAAGAGGGGAUUUUUUUAAAUUAGCUGAAAUAUGCACAAGACCUUAUCAAGGAUACUGGUUUAAGUAAAGAAAAAGUUGCUCUUACACCACUUGAACAGAAUCAGAAACUAACAACAGCAGAGUUUGAUGAAGUAGUUCAACAGCAUCAAGACAACAAGUUGUUAGAAGAUAAAGCAGUUUAUCAGAGACUCAUUGGAAGGCUAAUCUACUUGACCCAUACAAGGCCAGAUAUCACCUUUGCUGUUACUCAUCUUAGUCAGUUCAUGAAAAGUCCAAAACAGUCACAUAUGGAAGCAGUGUUAAGAGUUGUAAGGUAUAUAAAGAAAGAGCCAGGGCUAGGAAUAUUUUUGAAGGCUUUCAACAAACAUCAGUUGGUAGCAUAUUGUGAUUCAGAUUGGGCUUCUUGUCCAAUGUCAAGAAGAUCAGUUUCUGGUUUUUGUGUACACUUAGGAGACUCACUUAUUUCCUGGAAAUCGAAGAAACAAUGCACAGUAUCAAAAUCCUCUGCAGAAGCCGAGUACAGAAGAUGGCAACAGUAACAUCAGAACUGGUUUGGCUUUCAGGUUUAUUCAAGGAACUGGAGAUAGUAGGUAAACCAAUGAAACUGUUCUGUGACAAUAAAGCAGCUCUUCAAAUAGCAGCGAAUCCUAUGUAUCAUGAAAGGACUAAGAACAUUGAAAUUGAUUGUCAUUUUAUAAGAGAAAAAAUACAAGAAGGGCUUAUAGCUACUGAACAUGUGCCGACUGCAGAUCAACUUGCAGAUGUUAUGACAAAAGCUUUGGAGUCACAACAGCACAGUCAUCUAAUUUCCAAGUUGGGGUUAAAAAAUAUUUUUAUACCUCCAAUUGAGGGGGGUGUAGAGGUGUAGAAAGAAUUAUAAGCUGGUAGAAUAGUUUGUUUUUCUGUUUUUGAUUAGUUAAGUAUUGAGAUACUAUAAAUAUUUAAUUGUAUUCUUAUGAAAUAAGAUAGAAGCAUUUUUUUUAAAAAAAUAUUUUAAUAAGGUCCUAGUGGUUGUAGAACUCGAAACCAUUAAUUCUUGUCUUAAGCCUUAUUUUUGCUAGUUUAGGCUUAGAUAAAGGAAUGCGUUUUGACUAUUAGUGAGGGAGAAUAAAUGAGAGAAAAAAAAAGGAAAUAAAGAAAGAGGGAG
rnacentral:lncRNA from 1 species